rnacentral:tRNA from 2 species
GCCACCGUAGCUCAAAGGUAGAGCAAUCGCUUCGUAAGUGAUAGGUUGAGGGUUCGACUCCCUCCGGUGGCU